rnacentral:rRNA from 1 species
UACGUAGGGUGCAAGCGUUGUCCGGAAUUAUUGGGCGUAAAGAGCUCGUAGGCGGUCUGUCGCGUCUGCUGUGAAACUCGGGGCUUAACUCCGGGCCUGCAGUGGGUACGGGCAGACUAGAGUGCGGUAGGGGAGACUGGAAUUCCUGGUGUAGCGGUGAAAUGCGCAGAUAUCAGGAGGAACACCGGUGGCGAAGGCGGGUCUCUGGGCAGUAACUGACGCUGAGGAGCGAAAGCGUGGGGAGCGAACAGG